rnacentral:rRNA from 1 species
AUUGAACGCUGGCGGCAGGCCUAACACAUGCAAGUCGAACGAGUGGCGGCCGGGUGAGUAAUGUCUGGGAAACUGCCCGAUGGAGGGGGAUAACUACAGGAAAAGGUAGAUAAUACCGCGUACCAUCGGAGUUGCCCAGAUGGGAUUAGCUUGUAGGUGAGGUAACGGCUCACGUAGGCGACGAUCCCUAGCUGGUCUGGGAGGAUGACCAGCCACACGGGAACUGAUACACGGUCCAUACGUAUACGGGAGGCAGCAGUGGGGAAUAGUGCACAAUGGGCGCAAGUCUGAUGCAUCCGUGCCGAGUGUAUUAAGAAGGCCUUCGGUUUUGAAAGUACUUUCAUCGGGAAGGCGGUACCCGCAGAAGAAUCACCGGCUAAGUCCGUGCCAGCAGCCGCGGUAAUUC